AGCGCUCCCACCGAGCUGCCUGCCAUGGGGCUGGGGCUGCUGCUCCCGCUGCUGCUGCUCUGGACUCGGGGGACUCAGGGGUCCGAGCUGGACCCCAAAGGGCAGCACGUCUGUGUGGCCAGCAGCCCCUCUGCUGAGCUGCAGUGCUGCGCAGGCUGGAGGCAGAAGGAUCAAGAAUGCACCAUCCCCAUCUGUGAGGGGCCGGACGCCUGCCAGAAAGACGAGGUGUGUGUGAAGCCGGGCCUCUGUCGAUGCAAGCCUGGAUUCUUUGGGGCCCACUGCAGCUCCCGCUGCCCGGGCCAGUACUGGGGCCCCGACUGCCGUGAGAGCUGCCCCUGCCACCCGCACGGCCAGUGCGAGCCAGCCACGGGCGCGUGCCAGUGCCAGGCCGACCGCUGGGGAGCCCGCUGCGAGUUCCCGUGCGCCUGCGGCCCCCACGGGCGCUGCGACCCCGCGACCGGCGUGUGCCACUGCGAACCCGGCUGGUGGUCGUCCACGUGCCGCCGCCCGUGCCAGUGCAACACCGCGGCGGCGCGCUGCGAGCAGGCCACGGGCGCCUGCGUGUGCAAGCCGGGCUGGUGGGGGCGCCGCUGCAGCUUCCGCUGCAACUGCCACGGCUCCCCGUGCGAGCAGGACUCCGGCCGCUGCGCCUGCCGGCCGGGCUGGUGGGGUCCCGAAUGCCAGCAGCAGUGCGAGUGUGUGCGGGGCCGCUGCAGCGCCGCCUCCGGCGAGUGCACCUGCCCGCCCGGCUUCCGCGGAGCGCGCUGCGAGCUGCCCUGCCCGGCAGGCAGCCACGGGGUGCAGUGCGCACACAGCUGUGGCCACUGCAAACACAAUGAGCCGUGCUCUCCAGACACGGGCAGCUGUGAGUCCUGCGAGCCGGGCUGGAACGGGACCCAGUGCCAGCAGCCCUGCCUGCCUGGCACCUUUGGCGAGAGCUGCGAACAGCAGUGCCCUCACUGCCGACAUGGGGAGGCCUGUGAGCCGGAUACUGGCCACUGUCAGCGCUGUGACCCUGGCUGGCUGGGGCCCAGGUGAGGGCACCAUUCUGUUCAGGGUGGGGUACACCUGCCCCCCGGACCCUCAGCUCAGCGGCUCUCUCUGAGAGCACCACCCUCCCCGACACACAGGUUCAUGCGGCCCCAGGGGCCUCCCUCCUGUUGAAGACUGGGGGAGAGCAGUGGGUUCUGGGGGGGCCUGGGCAGGAUCCCAGCUCCCUCCCCUCUGAGGCUUCCUGCCCUCCUGGCCCUCUGGGGACUUGUAGUCUGUCACCUGCUGGAUUUGGCCCCAAGUUCAAGGCCCUAUUUGCACCUGAGCUUCACUGCUGAGGAGCGGCCAGUUGGGUCCUUGAGUCCAGGAGCGUGGGGCGGAGGGGUGGGGCCCCACGGUGGGGGCCAGGCCUGCCUUGGUCUCCCCUUCCCCGAGUCUUGCCUCACCCCAGGUGUGAAGACCCCUGCCCCACUGGUACCUUUGGGGAAGACUGUGGCUCUACCUGCCCCACCUGUGUUCAGGGGUCCUGUGAUACUGUGACAGGGGACUGUGUCUGCAGUGCCGGCUACUGGGGGCCCAGCUGCAACGCCUCCUGCCCAGCCGGUUUCCAUGGAAACAACUGCUCAGUUCCUUGUGAAUGCCCAGAGGGACUCUGCCACCCUGUCUCUGGGUCCUGCCAGCCAGGCUCUGGCAGUCGGGACACUGCCCUCAUCGUGGGCAGCCUUGUGCCUCUGCUGCUGCUCUUCCUGGGCCUUGCCUGCUGUGCCUGCUGCUGCUGGGCCCCCCGAUCAGACCUCAAGGACAGGCCAGCGAGAGAUGGAGCUACCGUGUCCAGGAUGAAGCUGCAGGUCUGGGGGACACUGACCAGCUUGGGCUCCACGCUGCCCUGCCGUUCCCUCAGCUCCCACAAGCUACCCUGGGUGACAGUCUCACAUCACGACCCGGAGGUCCCCUUCAACCACAGCUUCAUCGAGCCGCCCUCUGCCGGCUGGGCCUCUGAUGACUCCUUCUCAUCCGAUCCUGAGUCUGGAGAGGCAGAUGAGGUUCCUGCCUACUGUGUGCCACCCCAAGAAGGGAUGGUCCCUGUGGUCCAGGCAGGGUCGUCAGAGGCCAGCCUGGCUGCAGGUGCUUUCCCGCCCCCUGAGGACGCCUCCACGCCAUUCGCCAUCCCGCGCACCUCCAGCCUAGCUCGGGCCAAGCGGCCAUCGGUCUCCUUCGCGGAAGGUACCAAGUUUGCGCCACAGAGUCGCCGAAGCUCAGGGGAGCUCUCCAGCCCGCUCCGAAAGCCCAAGAGGCUCUCCCGGGGGGCGCAGUCGGGUCCUGAGGGCCGGGACGCCGAAGAGUCCGCAGGCCCAGAGGAAGCAGAAGCCCCCGAGUCCUUUCCGGCGGCUGCCAGUCCCGGGGAUUCAGCCACUGGCCACCGGCGGCCCCCACUUGGUGGCCGGACAGUGGCUGAGCACGUGGAAGCCAUUGAAGGCAGCGUCCAGGAGAGCUCGGGCCCUGUGACCACGAUCUACAUGCUGGCGGGGAAGCCCCGUGGAUCCGAAGGCCCCGUCCGCUCUGUCUUCCGCCAUUUUGGUAGCUUCCAGAAAGGCCAGGCAGAAGCCAAGGUCAAGAGGGCCAUCCCUAAGCCUCCGCGCCAGGCCCUGAAUCGGAAAAAGGGCAGCCCUGGCCUGGCCUCUGGCUCUGUCGGCCAGAGCCCCAACUCAGCCCCAAAAGCUGGGCUUCCUGGGGCCACAGGGCCUAUGGCAGUCAGACCAGAGGAAGCGGUCCGGGGGCUGGGGGCUGGCAGGGAGAGUUCAAGGAGAGCCCAGGAGCCAAUCUCUGGGUGUGGCUCCCCAGAACAGGAUCCCCAGAAGCAGGCUGAAGAGGAAAGGCAGGAGGAACCUGAGUAUGAGAAUGUUGUACCCAUCUCCAGGCCACCAGAACCCUGAUGACCUUGAAUUUGGGGAGUGGGGAGACUGGAUGGGACCGAAAAUGCCCAUGGACUAGACUGUGCUGUGUGCUGGAAAAUGAUCCCGGGGCCAGGAUAGACAAACCAGAGCCUCUGCGCCUCCACAGGGAAAAGGCAAGGCUUCCAGGCCAGUUGGCCCAGGCCCCUGGCAGUGCUCCCGGAGGGGCCCAGGAAGGCCUGGGCAGAGACCCUGUAGGAUGGGGUCAGGACGGGUUGCCUGCAGGGACUUUUGCUCUGCUGUCCUGGACCCUGUGUGCCUCAUAAGGGCUAUUCUUUCUUUCAUGUGCAAACCUUUUUCUGAAAUGGCAAACAACCUACAUGUUUGCUGAUAAAAGAUUGGCUAAACAAAAUUUUUUUUU
rnacentral:sRNA from 1 species